GAUGAAGAACGUAGCGAAAUGCGAUACGUAGUGUGAAUUGCAGAAUUCAGUGAAUCAUCGAAUGUUUGAACGCACAUUGCACCUCUCGGUAUUCCGGGAGGUAUGCCUGUUCGAGCGUCAUUUGUACCCUCAAGCUCUGCUUGGUGUUGGGUGUUUGUUCCGCCUCUGUGUGUGAACUCGCCUCAAAACAAUUGGCAGCCGGCGUACUUGUUUCGGAGCGCAGCACAUUUUGCGAUCCAGAUCAACGUACAGCGGCAUCCAAGAAGCCUUAUUUAACGCUCUUGACCUCGGAUCAGGUAGGGAUACCCGCUGAACUUAAGCAUAUCAAUAAGCGGAGGA
rnacentral:misc_RNA from 1 species